CUCCAUGAAGUCGGAAUCGCUAGUAAUCGUAGAUCAGAAUGCUACGGUGAAUACGUUCCCGGGCCUUGUACACACCGCCCGUCACACCAUGGGAGUGGGUUGCAAAAGAAGUAGGUAGCUUAACCUUCGGGAGGGCGCUUACCACUUUGUGAUUCAUGACUGGGGUGAAGUCGUAACAAGGUAACCGUAGGGGAACCUGCGGUUGGAUCACCUCCUUA
rnacentral:rRNA from 2 species